rnacentral:rRNA from 1 species
CCUACGGGUGGCAGCAGUGAGGAAUAUUGGUCAAUGGGCGCGAGCCUGAACCAGCCAAGUAGCGUGAAGGAUGACUGCCCUACGGGUUGUAACCUUCUUUUAUCAAGGAAUAAAGUGAGGCAGGUGUGCCUUUUUGAAUGAACUUUAUGAAUAAGGAUCGGCUAACUCCGUGCCAGAAGCCGCGGUAAUACGGAGGAUCCGAGCGUUAUCCGGUUUGAUUGGGUUUAAAGGGAGCGUAGAUGGGUUGUUAAGUCAGUUGUGAAAGUUUGCGGCUCAACCGUAAGAUUGCAAUUGAUACUGGCAGCCUUGAGUACAGGUGAGGUAGGCGGAAUUCGUGGUGUAGCGGUGAAAUGCUUAGAUAUCACGAGGAACUCCGAUUGCGAAGGCAGCCUACUAAACUGCCACUGACAUUGAUGCUCGAAAGUGUGGGUAUCAAACAGGAUUAGAUACCCUUGUAGUC